rnacentral:tRNA from 1 species
GCGCUGAUAGUCUAGUCUGGUAGGACUCCAGCCUCCCAAGCUGGUGACCCGGGUUCAAAUGAAAUCCUCUUUAGAGGAUUACUGGAAAUCCCGGUCGGCGCA